CACGUAGGGCGCAAGCGUUGUCCGGAAUUAUUGGGCGUAAAGAGCUCGUAGGCGGUCUGUUACGUCUGCUGUGAAAACCCAGGGCUUAACCCUGGGCUGCAGUGGAUACGGGCAGACUAGAGGCAGGUAGGGGAGAAUGGAAUUCCCGGUGUAGCGGUGAAAUGCGCAGAUAUCGGGAGGAACACCGGUGGCGAAGGCGGUUCUCUGGGCCUGACCUGACGCUGAGGAGCGAAAGCGUGGGGAGCGAACAGGAUUGAGAAACCCG
rnacentral:rRNA from 1 species